UAGGUGGCGGUAUGCACCUAAAAGUUGUUUGCAAUCCGCCAUUAACUAAGAGAAGAAGAAGAAGAACGAUCAUUAGUGACAGAAUCAUCAGCCAAUCAAAUGUUGACUUUCAAUCAUCAAAGGCAUCACGCCAUCUGGGUCUAGCGACGUGCCCAGUCUUGUCCCCAGGCAGCGUGAAAGAGAAAUUCAUCGCAAGGAAAAUAACAACCGCAGUCACCGGCGCCUACUCCAGAUCUUGUUGCCAAUUUACUCUUUUGCAGACGCAGGAAAACUAACAGAGAAAGGAAGACCUACUGCACCGAAACUGGAUUCGGUAACAAAAGCCAGCAAAGGUUUUGUCCGCCAUUUCAAAUAUGUAUCUAGGAGUGCUAUGAGUGGCUAACAGCUAGCACUGAGCUGAACAAGUUAUUUUGUUGGCUGUGUUUACUUUUUAUAUGAGUAAAGGGGCAUAGAUUGACAGACACACGGACUUUAUCUACAAGUGAAAGCUAUAACCUAGAGAGCAGCAUAUAGUUCCAAUCAAUGGUGGCCCUCUGCAGUGUUAUGGACACUCUCUGGCUCCUCACAAGAUGUCUCUGUGGUGCUAUAUUACUGAUGGCGUCCGUCUGCAUAUCUGACCUAGCCUGUGGAGGGUGACCUUCAGACCAACUGUUCCAUCCCAUAAGCUAAACUCUCUCACAC